CUAGCUUCUCUCAGACUUCAUAUGUCACAAAUGGUUUUAAAACAGGUGGUCUUGAAGAACAGAAAUUUGCUACACCAGGAGUGCAAGCCUUGGUACAGGCAAAUCGUGGAGAUAUUAUUCGAAUGCUUCCUUAUGAUAUACUGAAACCUAUUGGACAAAUGAAAGCUUUGGUAUUUAGAGAACAGCUCGUCGCGGGGACUAACUACUUUAUCAAGGUAAAAUUAGGAGGAGGACGCGGUCGGCGACCCCAGUUCAUACACGUCAGAAUCUAUGCUGACCUGAAAAACAAGAGCAGAGUGGACGAUGUCAAAUUUGCCAACCAAUACGACCCCAUUGAUUUCUUCUAGAGAUUGAAAAGAUGGACUUAGCUCUUUGUCAACUAGUAUGACCCCAUUGAAUUCUUCUAGAGAUUGAAAAGAUGUCGUUUAUAUU